UACAGAGGUCUCAAGCGUUGUUCGGAUUCAUUGGGCGUAAAGGGUGCGUAGGUGGCGCUGUAAGUCGGGUGUGAAAUUUCGGAGCUUAACUCCGAAACUGCAUUCGAUACUGCGGUGCUUGAGGACUGGAGAGGAGACUGGAAUUUACGGUGUAGCAGUGAAAUGCGUAGAUAUCGUAAGGAAGACCAGUGGCGAAGGCGAGUCUCUGGACAGUUACUGACACUGAGGCACGAAGGCCAGGGGAGCAAACGGG
rnacentral:rRNA from 1 species